AUAUGAGACGAUGGAUGUUCACUAAUUGUGUCAUUAUUUCAUGAUAUAUUACAUCGAAGCACCUUAAACUUAUACAGUGCUGUAUGUCAACUGUAUCUCAGUAAAAGUGGAAGAGAAAAUAUGAAAAAUUAGAGGAAGAGAGACAUAAAAAAAAGAAAAAAUGUGUUUAUGAUGUAAAGGUAACUAGCAGAGAUAAUUAGAUCUUAUUUUUCAUAUUUAUGACUUGGCUGAGUUUUAACUUCUGAUCCUCAAUUUCUUCAUCUGUCAAAUGGGUUCAUGAGACCCUGGUGAGAGGUAAAUGUGAUUGAAUGUAUUAUGCUCAUAGGUAGGGCUUUAGUUUGCUGAAAGCAGAGAAAAACAAAAUGAGGUCCCUACCCUCGAGGAGCUCACAGUCAAGAUCUGUGCUGUCCAAAACAGUCGUCAGCAGUCAGAUGUGAAAAUUUUUAAUGAAAGUUAAAUGUAAACCAAAAAUCCAGUUCAUCAGUUGCACAAGUCACAUUUCCAGUGCUCAAUAGCUAUGUGUAGGUGCCAGUCAUGUGUUGGCUACCAUACUGGAUAACACAGAACAUUUUCACCAUCACGCAAAGUUUUAUUGAAUAGCUGUGGUCUACAGGAGCAAGACUGAGAAGUACACAGGUAAAUUUUACCAUACUCCAAUAGGCAGUAAUCUGAUAACAGUAAGGGAUUUUAUAAUGGAAGUGAUUUUCUUGAAAGACAAGUAGGUUUUGUUUUUUUAGGAGCAGAAUGGGGAGCCAGGUGGAACCACAAGUACAAAGGCACUUCAGGAGGUACUGAGGUUCUAAGUGGAUUAGGAUGCAACUUGAGAAGAGAUCACAGCCCAAGUAAGAAUCAGGACCUAACUCACAAAGAGUGACCUAUUGGAUGUGUAUUACAGAAAGCUAACCAUGCAGUGGUUGUCAACUCUGGAGAUGCACAUGACAACUCUUCUGCAAAGCUUUUGAAAAUGCUGGUGACAGAGCUCUAACCCCCACUGAAUUAAAACCAGUUCUGGGCAUGGGACCUAGACUUCAUUAAGCCUUAAAAUCCCCAAGUGAUUUACAUGCAGCCAGGGUUAAAAAUCAGUGGAGAUGACCAAGAACUGACACUGUGGUUAAGCUGAACGAAGAAGUACGAGGAAGAGUCUACUGCAAUAGUCCUAUCAACAGAUGGCAGGGAACCUCACUUCACACAGGAAUAGGAAGAAGAAACACAGAUAUUAGUAUAAUUUUCAAAGACAGAAUUAAUACGACCUGGAAACCAAGAAUAUGAACAAUCAGAGAAGAAAAAAAUAUAACAGCUUCUAGCCCUUGGCAAUAAUGACCAAGAUUAAGCAUAUAGAAAAUUGAGCAGGUUUAAGAGGCAAAGAGUAAAAAUUAGCUUAGUUUUUUAGAGCCACUGCCUGCUAAGUUCUGCAGAGCAUCUGGUAGAAAAGUCUAGGAGGUCAGAGGAACUAACUGCCCAGAUUCUACAAGAGGAGGAGGCCAGAGAGUGGGGUACAGAGGACUCGUGAAGAGUGCUUGCAGGAUCCAUACAGAGUGAAUUAAUUUCCUGUAAACUUCAACAGGAGAGAAGACACACUCUUUGCAAGUCCUGCUCUAUCUCCAACUAUUCCCCACUGUGCAUCAAGGUCCCCAUCUUCCUGGCAUCACCAACAACCCACGAGCAUCCUUUCCAACACCACUUACUGGUUGUAUGACCUUGAACAAAUCACUGUACUUUCUGGGUCUGCGCUUCAGGUUCCUAACACUCAAAGGAAAGGAUGAACUAGAACCAGUUGCUACCAAGGGGCCCUUCCAAUUUGAAGACUCUACAGACAUAUAUAUUACCUUCUGAAGAGCCGAAGUUACAGAUACAAUUUAUAAUCAUUUCUAACAUUUAUAUAUGCAUCAAUUUGUAUAACAUAUUCACUUGUAUUCCUGAAAUGUUAUCUAGCCCUGAGAUAUAAUAAUUAAUAUAAUUUCAUAAAUUAUAUAAAUUCCAAAAAAUUACACAAAUGUAUAUUCUUUGUCUUAAACUUGUUCAUCAAAAAGACACAGUCAACAUUUUGUUUAGUAUUGAAUACCAAAUUUUUGUGCUUUUUCCUUUGCCAUGCUAAAGUAAGGGGUUGCAAACUCUAGCACCUACAGGGCCAGAGUAUCAUAUUAAUGAGUGAAGCAGUCCCGAGGACAAUGAUGAACUCUAGUUCCCCACCCCAGCUAAAGGGGGCAGGGAUUACGCAGCACCACGCCACAGCUGCCAUUUGGGGCCAUGGACCCAGUGUUGUUUCAGAAACCCUCAUUGUUUCAGGUAUAAUCUCUUGAUAUUUAAACCCUGGCAACCAACACAAAUCAUUUUAAAAUGCUGUGCAGGAGUUCUCAUUGGGGCUCAGUGGAAACGAAUCCAACUAAUAUCCAUGAGGACACCGGUUUGAACCCUGGCCUUGCUCAGUGGGUGGGGAUCCGAUGUUGCUGUGAGCUGUGGUAUAGGUCAAAGACGCUGCUUGCAUCUGGCAUUGCUGAGGCUAUAGUGUAGGCCAGCAGCUGUAGCUCCAAUUCAACCCAGAGCCUAGGAACUUCCAUAUGCCACGGGUGUGGCCCUAAACCCCCCCCCCCCAAAAAAAAGUUUUUUAGACCAAACUUGGCCCAAGGCUGUCAGAUUGUACCUGGUCCCAAAGUACACCAUCCUGCGCAACUUUUAAACCUGAAAAACAGAAAACAUGCACAAAACAAGAAAGAAGGCCUCUUAAGUCCCUAUGAUAGUUCGGAGCAUUGGGAUGAGUUUAAGCAAGUCAGAGCAAUAACACUAGCCUAGGACUUGCAGCCACCUUUAUCCUGAGUGCCUAUAAUGAAAUCUACAAAAUGCAUUCAUUGUUAUGAAACAUCUGUGUGGAGUAUGAAUGGAGAAGAGCACACCUGAUAAACGAAUUCUUCAUGUACCAAAUAUCAGGUGGACUUUUAACACAGCGAGGUAAACAUGUGAUAAUUCAUAGUCUGCUGAUAGCAGCCAAUAUCCCCCAGGGCAUUCAAAAGAGAAAAAUACUUUAUUUAGCAGCAAUUUCACUCUAUUUCUUGCUUUCAGACAGGGGGAAAAAAACUCUUCUCUUUUCAUUAUACUCUUGAUUUUAUUUUUGUGUGUGAAGUACUAAGCAAUCUGGCACACAUUAGCAGGAAGAGGCCAACCGUACAUGGAAUAUACUAUUACCCUCAUUCUCAAAGCAUGAUGAAAUGCGAUCUUCCGCUACCAGAUCACCUUAAAACCACUGCAACACUGUGACUCUGCCAAUAGGAAGAAGUUUGUAUUGAGGAAGGUUGCCCUGUGCUACCCAGUGGACUCAAUGGGGGAGAAAUCCAUGAGAGAGGGCAAAAAAAAAAAAAAAAAAAAAAAAAA
rnacentral:lncRNA from 1 species